rnacentral:lncRNA from 1 species
GUUAUAAGGGCAGUAAUAAUUUGUGUGUUCCCUAUUUCCACCCCAAGCUUUAGAAGGAAUAGAAAGAUAACAAAAGCUACUCAUAACACCACCAUAGAUGACUAUUUAACAUUUUGUCAGGCAUUCCUUUGGUCUUUGAAUUUUUUAUUUACUAAACUAAAAGUUAAUUUGAAACUGUGUUAGGAUGUCUAUAUCUUCAAAACUUAUUCCAAAUAUAAUUUGUCUCAAUACCAUUGUUUUAUAUAAGAUGAUAAUAGUAGUCAUGUAAUUGGUAUCUUUGCUUUAACUUUUCCCCUGGCUGCUCCUCUGGACAACAAUAAUUUUAAAAUAUGUAUAUUAGAUUAUCAUCUUCCCAGGCUCAAACCCCUUCUGUGGUUUUUAAAAACACAAAAUAAAGUUCGAACUCUUUAUUGUGGUUUGUAUACACUUGACUGGUUGAGCCAAUAAAAAUAGUGCAAAC